GAGUUUGAUCGUGGCUCAGGACGAACGCUGGCGGCGUGCUUAACACAUGCAAGUCGAGCGGAAAGGCCCUUUCGGGGGUACUCGAGCGGCGAACGGGUGAGUAACACGUGAGUAACCUGCCUCUGGCUUUGGGAUAACCCUCGGAAACGGGGGCUAAUACCGAAUAUUCAGCUUCUGCGGCAUCGUGGGGGUUGGAAAGUUUUUUCGGCUGGGGAUGGGCUCGCGGCCUAUCAGCUUGUUGGUGGGGUAAUGGCCUACCAAGGCGUCGACGGGUAGCCGGCCUGAGAGGGCGACCGGCCACACUGGGACUGAGACACGGCCCAGACUCCUACGGGAGGCAGCAGUGGGGAAUAUUGCACAAUGGGCGGAAGCCUGAUGCAGCGACGCCGCGUGAGGGAUGACGGCCUCGG
rnacentral:rRNA from 1 species